UUUAAGUCGGGUACAAAUCGGUUCUUAUCGGGUCGGGUCUAUUCGGGUCGGUUCUUUUCGGUUCCGGGUCUAUUCGGGUCGGUUCCUUUUCGGUUCCGGUUCUUUCGGGUAAAAAAAAUUUAGACCCAAAAAGUACUUGUAAAUUUUCGGUCCGGUUCCGGAUCAGGUAUUUUUUGGUCGAUUCCGAUUCGGGUCUUCGGAUCCAGGUUAAAAUGUCCAGGCCUACUUUGUACGCAUUUUAACACUGACACUCAUCAUCGCUUUCCUCUUUUAAAUGUCUCAGCUUUUUAGUUACGUGCAUUAUCAUCAUGUUCCUAUCGUAUCCUCUCUUCUUUUAGUUGUUUUACUUGCAUAAUCUGCUGAGCAUAUAAAGAGCCGGAUAGGACAAGAACAAAACGCCACGGUUUAGCAGGACAUGCAAAUUAAGCCCACUCUCACAGUCUCACUCAUUCAGACUUGCUACUAAUUUAACCUUCUGCCUGUUUCUAGCUAGAUUGUUUCCCUAUAUAUACGAGGUAUUGUUGGAAAGAACCUAUUUCUUUCUCUACGAACCUAAAACUACAAACUUCUAUUAUGUAUACGUCUAACACGUUAGAAAAAUGCUAUCUUGAACACGUUAUUAACAGAGAAAUAAGCAAAUCUUGUUAUAGAAUAUCGUGUGAAGUACAGCGAAGAGGAAGAUCAAUGUAUCUUUUUGGCAGGGCUGGAUUUUUGACAAUGGCAAAUCGAACUUGCAAGACCCCAAAAGCACGCACGACAUCUUUACGUACAGCUUCUUGAUGUGUAGUAAAUAAGGAUGCUUUCGGACCUUGUGGAAGUGGAAUGGAUUGGACAAAAGUAGCUCAUUUUGGAUAAAUAUCAUCUGUGAGAUAGUAAGCCAAAUUGUACUCGUGUCCGUUGACAAUGUAAUUAACUCUUGGAGCUCGACCUUGUAAUAUAUCAUCAAAAACCGGUGAUCGAUCAAGAAUAUUGAUAUCGUUUAAUGUAUCUGGAGGUCCAAAAAACGCAUGUCAUAUCCAGAGAUCUUGUGAAACUACAGCCUCGAAAACAAUGGUUGGCUUUCCUGAUCCACGUGUAUAUUGACAUUUCCAUGCGGUCGGACAAUUCUUCCACUCCCAAUGCAUACAAUCAAUGCUUCCUAUCAUCCCGGAAAAUCUGCGUAACUCUCCAAUAUCGAGUAGUCGUUGAAGAUCUUCUGGUGUGGGUCUUUUUAGAUACUCAUCUCCAAAUAAAUUUAUGAUUCCUUCAACAAAAUGUUCCAAGCAUAAAAGCGCGGUGGUUUCACCAAGUCGGAGGUAUUCGUCGACCGCAUCAGCUGGGCAACCAUAUGCCAUCAUACGAAUUGCUGCUGUUGCCUUUUGUAACGGAGAGUGACCGAACCUUCCAGUAGCAUCUCUUCUUUGUUGAAAGUAUGAUAUUUCAGCGGAGAUUCGAUCAACAAUACGCAUGAACAAGGCCUUGUUCAUUCUAAAACGACGUCGAAACAUGUGAGACGGAUAUGUUGCAUCUUCGCUAAAAUAGUCAUUCCAUAACUGCAUGUGUCCUUGUUCUCGUUGUCUUUCAAUGUAAGCUCGUUUCUUUUUUUACCUUGAUGCUUCUUGACGAUUUUCAUUACGAAUUAGGAGAUUUUCGAAUUCUUGAUCGAAAAUUUGAUCGAACUUUUCAUCCAUCAUGUCCUCAAAAUUAUUAGAAGAAGAAGCAUCCAUUUAGAAAAGUAAUUUUGAAUUUAGAAAUGUUUUGAAAUUUUGGAUUGGUGAGAUGAUAAGAGAAAUUUUGGAUUUGUGAGAUGAUAAGAGAUAAACGGGAGACACUUGUUCUUACAAACAAAGAGAAAAAACAAAGUAUAAUAAUGAGACACUUGUUCUUACAAACCCAAACCGGAUUGGUGAGAUUAUAAGAGAAAUACAAUAUGUUUGAACAAAUGUGUUUUCUGUGAAACAAAUGGGUUGGACGACACACAACUUAUAGAAAACAUAGCUCAAGAGAGAAUUUUUUUUUUUUUAAAUUGAGACAACAAAAUCUUGGCUUAUUGUGUCACAUGUCUUCGGUCUUGGCUCCUUCUGUCACAAGUUGUGCUUGUCUUGGCUUAUUGUGUCACAAGUUGUUUACGUAUUGGCUUUAUUCUGUCACAAGUUGUUUACGUCUUGGCUCCAUCUGCAAUAUACACAAGCAAAACGUGGUGAGUCCCAACUAAAUAAAGCACGCAUCAAUUCAUGAAAUACAGAUAUAGAGACAAAAAAAACAUCACCAUUAACAUCCAUUAACAAGUCUCAAUUCAUGAAAUACAGAGACAUCAAAAGCAGAACCAUUAACAUCCAAAGCAUACAUACUCGACUGAAUUAUAAAUUCAGAGAC